rnacentral:rRNA from 1 species
UAGGGAAUCUUCCACAAUGGGCGAAAGCCUGAUGGAGCAACGCCGCGUGUGUGAUGAAGGGUUUCGGCUCGUAAAACACUGUUGCAAGAGAAGAAUGACAUUGAGAGUAACUGUUCAAUGUGUGACGGUAUCUUACCAGAAAGGAACGGCUAAAUACGUGCCAG